CGUCAAAGCUUAAUCUUAUCCUUCAACAAUUUCACAAUCUCCUCAAAACCCCUUAAUAGUACUGAACGAUUUCAUACCUUUAUGAAACCCUCUAUGUUAAAACUAGUAACAAGAAUAAACCUUCUCUUUUAUACAAAUUUAGAUCAGAACAGAAAAUCUACUGAUUCAUAACAACCCUAAGUCUAAGCAGUAAAUUAUCAAGAAAAUUCCGCUAAAACAAUUGUUAACCUCACACAAGAGUAUAUAAAGAAAGAUUAAAAGAAAAAGAAGGAACUCGGCAAACCCUAAUUCCGCCUGUUUACCAAAAACAUCGCCUCCUGCUAACCUAUAGGAGGUCCAGCCUGCCCAGUGACCUAGUUUAACGGCCGCGGUAUCCUGACCGUGCGAAGGUAGCGUAAUCACCUGUUUUUUAAUUAAAGACCUGUAUGAAAGGCAUCACGAGAAUUAAACUGUCUCCCCUUUCCAAUCAGUGAAACUAAUCUCCCCGUGAAAAAGCGGGGAUAUUUACACAAGACGAGAAGACCCUAUGGAGCUUAAGACAAAGUAACAUCCUGCACAUCUUUUUUACACCUAUUUCUGCCAGCAUUUAUUUACAAGUCUUUGGUUGGGGCAACCGCGGAGCACAAAAUAACCUCCAAGCCGAAUGGAACCUUCCUAAACAAAAAGCCACAACUUUACGUAUCAAUAAAUUGACAUAUGACCCAAAUUUUUGAUUAUCGAACCAAGUUACCCUAGGGAUAACAGCGCUAUCCACUUCAAGAGUCCAUAUCGACAAGUGGGCUUACGACCUCG
rnacentral:rRNA from 1 species